AAAAUACUUUUUUAUUUUUUUUCCCUAGGAAGUAUUUUAAAGAUUAGUAUUAAAUUACAGAAAAAAAAAAAAAGUAAUUCUAAUCAAAUCUGAAAGUUCAAAUUCUAAUUUAACUUAAAAAAAAACAAACAAAACAACCAACAACAGAAUUGUGUCAUUCUUCUUAUUUUCAGACUAGUUUAUCUCAGGAGGACUUUUACCAGUUGGUGUUUAUGAGCCACCUGGGCACUGGCAGUUGCUGAAACAAAACAGCUGAUCUGCAUCUGUGGACAGGUGAAGGACCCUCAGCUGAGAUAACUGAAGUAACUGAAGGAAAUAGGGAGACAACUACACACACUGGAAGCCGUGUAGUAGGAUUUGGCCAACUAGCAGACACAUUCAGUUGCACAAACACAAAGGAAGUACACAGGUGUUGGUGACAUCAGCAGCCUGGGUAUGUGAAUCAGGGCACAGAUGAAUCAGUGCAGACAGAAUUGAAAGCAGCUCAUUCCCCCAAC
rnacentral:lncRNA from 1 species